GAUGAACGCUGGCGGUAUGCUUAACACAUGCAAGUCGAACGGACUCUUCGGAGUUAGUGGCGGACGGGUGAGUAACGCGUGAGAAUCUGGCUUUGGGUUCGGGACAACCAUUGGAAACGGUGGCUAAUACCGGAUGUGCCGAGAGGUAAAAGAGAAAUUGCCUGAAGAUGAGCUCGCGUCUGAUUAGCUAGUUGGUGUGGUAAAGGCUCACCAAGGCAGCGAUCAGUAGCUGGUCUGAGAGGAUGACCAGCCACACUGGGACUGAGACACGGCCCAGACUCCUACGGGAGGCAGCAGUGGGGAAUUUUCCGCAAUGGGCGAAAGCCUGACGGAGCAAUACCGCGUGAGGGAAGAAGGCUCUUGGGUUGUAAAACUCUUUUCUUAGGGAAGAACAAAAUGACGGUACCUAAGGAAUCAGCAUCGGCUAACUCCGUG
rnacentral:rRNA from 1 species